AAUUUUGUAACGUACGUGACUGUCGCCGACUCAAUUUUUAAAAUUGAACAAGCAAAUAUAAAAAUCUGAGAGCGUGUUUUUAAAUUUUCUUUGCGUUAAUAUCAUUUGUAUUUCCUAAAUUUUCAUUCAAUAAAAGUUUAACAACUUUUGCGUAUGAUUUUAAGCAGUGGUGUAUAUAUUACUCCAUGUCGCCAGAUUAUAUUAUGUGAUCAUAGGGUCAAUUAAACACCCAAUGUAUGGACAAAGAUUUCGUAUUAUCUUUAUGUUUUUGAUCUAUUUUGGCGCUAAAAUAUUCAAAAACUGUGUGAAAAUAUUCAUCAAGCGAUAUUUGGAUGUGGCAUUGAGAAAAAGUCAUCAUAUUCUCAAAAUUUUGCAUUCUGAUUUUAGAAAUGUAACAUACGAUACAAUAAACUUUUUAUGAAAACGUAUUUGCAGAGCAAAUGUUACCCCUUUUAUGAAAAUCUCGUAGUGUACAGAGAAUGAAAAUAUAAACAUUUCUUUUGCAGAAGUCAUUGGUUGGUCUGAAAUUUGACAAACGUGUCAAGAUGUAACAUUCGUGAUGUAACAUUCGUUACCGAGAAAUUAAUUAAAGGGAAUGAUAGAACAAUUUCCGGCUUAUUUUUGCUCUCUCUCUGCAUGAUGUGGUAUACGACAUGAACGUCUACUAUGAACAUUUGAGUUUGAAAGUCAAUACGUGUUAAACUUUGAGAAUUAGGAUUAAUUUUCUCUUACGAAAUGGCGCUUGUGAGAGUAGAAGUACAGAAUAACUACCAUGAAAAAAAUGUAUUAAAACAUAAGAACAACCAUGAAAAAAUGUUUUAGAAAUAAUAUUAUAUGCUCCCCUUGUGGCAAUACUGAAAAGGUAGAAUGUCUGUAUAGACAGUGAAAAUAAAGGUUUAACUACCGGUCAAAGGCUACCAUAAUGAUACAUGUAAGUUUUGUCUCUCAAAAUACUUAUAAGCAACUGGUCAUUUGAGUAAUUUUGUAUGACCUUUGACCUUGUGACUUGGAAUCCAAUGGGGGUCAUCUAUUCAUAAGGGGCACCAGUGUUUCAAGUUUGAUGUCUAUCAAGGAAAGAUUUCUCAACGGACAAUAGCGUAUGUCCAGAGUAGUUUAACCGUUGUCCUUUUGACCUCAAAAUUAAUAGGGGACAUCUAUGUCUUAAGGUUCACGUUAAAUAUUCAUUCAUAACACCGCGUGGUGGAUUAUACUGACAGUUUCUAUGGAAAGGUAUUCCAAAAUAAGCAACAAAAACAUAAGAUUCGGUAUACAUUUAAUCAAAAUGUUGGGAAAUUAAACAUUUUCUUUAUAUUAUUAUUGUAAACAGAUUGUUAGAAAUGGGUACAUAUGAUUCUUUCCAUUUUUUUAAUAGAAAUGAUGUGUUUAUAGUAAUGAAAGGAAAAAUAAGAAACAUACGUUACUUUCAUUGUUUAUUAUAACAAUGAGCAAUCCAGGUUUCAAAAUAUGUGUCUGUUAUUUCUAUAAGAAUCAUAAGCAUUUAUAUAGCGAAACAUCAAUCUAUCACGUUUGUUUUAAUCGCACAUUUAUUGCAAAUUAACAAAUUCAGAAGAAAAGACACAUUUGGUAAAAAAUUUUGCUUGUCUACGUUAUAUUUCUAUUAAAAUUGGUAUUUCCAUUGAAU